GACGAACGCUGGCGGCGUGCCUAACACAUGCAAGUCGAACGGAAAGGCCCUGCUUUUGUGCGGUGCUGGAGUGGCGAAGGGGGGAGUAACACGUGAGUAACCUGCCCUUGACUUUGGGAUAACUUCAGGAAACUGGGGCUAAUCCCGGAUAGGAGCUCCUGCUGCAUGGUGGGCGUUGGAAAGUUUCGGCGGUUGGGGAUGGACUGGCGGAUUAUCGGUUUGUUGGUGGGGUAGUGGCUGACCAAGGCUUUGAAGGGUAGCCGGCCGGGGAGGGUGACCGGCCACAUGGGGACUGCGAGACGGCCCAGACUCCAAUGUGAGGCAACAGUGGGGAAUAUUGCACAACGGGCGGGAGCCUGAGGCAGCAACGCCGCGGUCGGGAUGACGGCCUGCGGGUAGUAAACCGCUUUCGCUUGUGACGAAGCGUGAGUGACGGUAACGGGUGAAGAAGCACCGGCUAACUACGUG
rnacentral:rRNA from 1 species